UGGGUUGAACUGGAUGGAAGAAAGCCAAUAGCCAGCAGAAAGUGGAGGCUGGGGGAAUACAGUACUGAACCGAUAUCCUGGCGAUUUAUGACCUUCCUGGGACACUGUGAAGAAUAAGAGAGAUUGACAGGAAAAUGUCUUCAGAGCAAACGCACGCCAGAUGGAAUGAAAACGGUUUAUUGGAGUAUGGAGGUGCUGCUGAACUGAAUAGAGGGCGGGUUUAAGAGAAUGAGGAAGAAAAAGAAUAAUUCCAGCUGAUAGAGCAGCUAUCAAAUCUAGGACAGAAGAAGAAGCCUACACUAAAAAACCUAUAAAAGCCCAUAUAGCUGCUUCUAUAUCAAGAAGAACAACAUCAUUGUGUCUUUUUCAACUGAGUAAACUUAACUUGCAUGCUCUUAGUAAUGAUAAUAAAGUCAAAUUCAGCCCUACGUCUCACAAGAAAACAUAACUAUGAAUUAUUUCAUACCCUCCACACAGAGAAAAGGCAGGAAAACAGCCAUAAAUGGGAAGAAACAGCACAAAAGAAAGGAAGAAAAUACGUCUCUAAACUGUGAAUCUCCCUGACAUCUUUUCAUUAUCAGCCUAGUCAAUGAAGAAUGCCACAAAGGAAAGCACGGCAUCAUAUUAUUGAAACACGAUGGUUUGGAGUUUUUUUGAAGGAUGUACUUAUAUAUUCUCUGUGGAUAGCCUUUUUUAUUUAAUUAUAUUUGCCAUUAUUAACUCUCUGUAAUUGUGUUUUACAUGCAGGGCUUAGAUUAAGUGUUUUUCCUGUAUCAUAUACACUUGUACUGCUCUUUUUAGAGUUUUUUCAGGGCUUUUUUCCUUAUGCAAACACAUCAGAGAGAAAAUAUUGAGUUACCUCCUUUAUUUGUAUUAUACUUUAAAACAAAACAAACCUUUUUAUCUUUGACAACGUGCUUCUUUUUUGCUAAGGAAUAUUUAUUUAGACAGUAAAAAGAUGUUAUGGUUCUUUCCACUAGUAGAAGCGUAUGCACUGAAUAUGCUCCAAUGUAAUUUGCAGAAAGUGAGGAAAACACUCUGGAAAAGUAAGCAGGGAGUUUUGCCAUGUCGUUUCAUCUGAUAAGUACAAUACUAUGAUAACAAAGCUUUAGGCAAUAUGCUUAAAACUGACAGGAAAAGUAACAGGCAAAGUCUUAUAAUGAUCCGUUUAUAUUACAUAUUUUAUAAAUUUACUGAUUGCACAGAAAAUAUGUCUUUUUUUUUUUUUCAUGUUUUGUCUUGUUCAGAAUCCUGCUAUAAAGUUCUAUUUAACUCUCCUUUUGUAUUCGCCCUGACAGAGCUAUAAAAUUUGCUUGUA